rnacentral:rRNA from 1 species
GACGAACGCUGGCGGCGUGCUUAACACAUGCAAGUCGAACGGAAAGGCCCCUUCGGGGGUACUCGAGUGGCGAACAGGUGAGUAACACGUGAGUAACCUGCCCUUGACUUCGGGAUAACUUCAGGAAACUGGGGCUAAUACCGGAUAGGAAUCCUUGCUGCAUGGUGGGGGUUGGAAAGCUUCGGCGGUUUUGGAUGGACUCGCGGCUUAUCAGCUUGUUGGUGGGGUAGUGGCUUACCAAGGCUUUGACGGGUAGCCGGCCUGAGAGGGCGACCGGCCACAUUGGGACUGAGAUACGGCCCAGACUCCUACGGGAGGCAGAAGUGGGGAAUAUUGCACAAUGGGCGGAAGCCUGAUGCAGAAACGCCGCGGGCGGGAUGACGGCCUUCGGGUUGUAAAACGCUUUCAGCAGGGGCGAAGCUUGUGGUGACGGUACCUGCAGAAGAAGCACCGGCUAACUACGUG